rnacentral:lncRNA from 1 species
GAGGGAAUUUGUCUAUUGGAGGGGUCUGGUUGGCACUGUUGAAGUCCAAUUGGCACUGUUGAAGGUUGAUGGCUGGAGAGGUACGGAAGACAUCGGAGAUAGUCGGUCACUGUAGAAAUUUGAUUGCUGGAGUCCGUUCGUUGUAGAAGUCAUCUGGAAUCCAUCUGCUGUAGAAGUUCGGACGGAAUCCGGUUCUUGCAGA